rnacentral:snRNA from 1 species
AUGAUAGCUUUGGCAGCACAUAUACUAAAAUUGGAAUAAUACAGAGAAGAUUAGCAUGGCUCCCACAUAAGGAUAACACACAAAUUCGUGAAGCAUUCCAUAUUUUU